GGUCCAUUGGUCUAGUUGGUUAGGACACAGGUUUCUGAUACCUGUAGCCCCAGUUCGAAUCCGGGAUGGACCU
rnacentral:tRNA from 1 species